CCUACGGGUGGCAGCAGUGAGGAAUAUUGGUCAAUGGACGAGAGUCUGAACCAGCCAAGUAGCGUGAAGGAUGACUACCCUAUGGGUUGUAAACUUCUUUUAUAAAGGAAUAAAACGAGGCACGUGUGCCUUUUUGCAUGUACUUUAUGAAUAAGGAUCGGCUAACUCCGUGCCAGCAGCCGCGGUAAUACGGAGGAUCCGAGCGUUAUCCGGAGUUAUUGGGUUUAAAGGGAGCGUAGAUGGGUUGUUAAGUCAGUUGUGAAAGUUUGCGGCUCAACCGUAAAAUUGCAAUUGAUACUGGCAGUCUUGAGUACAGUUGAGGUAGGCGGAAUGCGUGGUGUAGCGGUGAAAUGCAUAGAGAUCACGCAGAACUCCGAUUGCGAAGGCAGCAUACCGGCGCCCAACUGACGCUGAAGCACGAAAGCGUGGGUAUCGAACAGGAUUAGAUACCCCUGUAGUC
rnacentral:rRNA from 1 species